AGAACGAACGCUGGCGGCAUGCCUAAUACAUGCAAGUCGAACGAACUCUUCGGAGUUAGUGGCGCACGGGUGCGUAACGCGUGGGAAUCUGCCCCCUUGGUUCGGAAUAACAGUUGGAAACGACUGCUAAUACCGGAUGAUGACGAAAGUCCAAAGAUUUAUCGCCAAGGGAUGAGCCCGCGUAGGAUUAGCUAGUUGGUGAGGUAAAGGCUCACCAAGGCAACGAUCCUUAGCUGGUCUGAGAGGAUGAUCAGCCACACUGGGACUGAGACACGGCCCAGACUCCGUACGGGAGCAGCAGUAGGGAAUAUGGACAGUGGGCGAAAGCCUAGAUCCAGCAAUCGCCGCGUGAGUGAGUGAAGGUCCGUUAGGGUAGUAAAGCUUACUUUACCGAGUAC
rnacentral:rRNA from 1 species